rnacentral:sRNA from 1 species
GUUUAGCCCUGAUUGCAGCGGCAUCCUUUUUUGAAGUAUGAAAAAAAGAUAUAGCGGAAAGCAGGAAUUAGC